GUGGGUUUAGCUCAGUGGUGGAGCACGUGCUUAGCAGUACGAGGUCCUGGGUUCAACCCCCAGUACCUCCA
rnacentral:tRNA from 1 species